UAGUUACCUAUAUCCAAUAUCUUGAAAUGAAUCAGGUCAGGUCGUGAUUGAAGCAGCCUUAAGUUAUCUAAGAUAUGUGGGUAUGGGUACUUAAGA
rnacentral:SRP_RNA from 1 species